rnacentral:lncRNA from 1 species
AUGAAACUAAAUAUUCAUACAACAUUGACAAACAAUUAAAAUAUCUGUUUUGCAAUUACCGUCUAUCCACCACUUUCCCAGAAUAUCAACAAAAUUGUUAAAAUAGUAUUUUGAAUAACACUGCUUUCAAAGAAGUCAACGUAUUUGCGUUUUGAGUACAUUCUUUUCAGUAUUCUUAAAAUUGACCAUACAUUGAAUAUUUGAAAUAAUAUACAGAAAUAAUGUUGCUGCUUCUCCACUAAGCCUGAAUUAUAUAGUAAAAAGAACAAAGACUCACUGGUAGAAUAAUGUGCAUCCAUUUAUUUUCGUUACACUUUCUUUUGUGAACAAGUAGGUUUAAAAUCGGACACAGCAUAACUGUCUAGUACAAAGCAGGCUUCAUAUUCGAACGACAUUAACAUAUUAUCGUUCUUAUAAGAAUGUAAUAUUUGCCACUGGAAGUU